CCCAAAGUGCUGGGAUUACAGGCGUGAGCCACCGCGCCAGGCCCUCAUUGUGUUUUAAUUUGCACUCCCUGAUGAUUAGUGAUGUUCAGCAUCUUUUCAUGUGCUUAUUGGCCAUUUGCAUAUCUUCUUUCAUGGUGAAUCUGUUGAAAUCUUUUGCCCAUUUUCUACUUGGGAUUUUUUUAUCUUCUCAUUGAAUCCUAAGGUUCUUUUAUGUUUAUAUACAAAUCCUUUGUCAGAUAUACUUUGAAAAUAUUUUCUCCCAGUUUGUAUUUGCCUUUCCAUUCUCUUAAUGGUCUUAUGAGCAGAAUAUUUUAAUUAUGAUAACGUUCUAUUUUUCCAUUUUUUCUUCAUAUUCCAUGCUUUCUCUGUGCCUAAAACAUCCAUGCCAACGCAAAGUCACAAAUAUUUUCUGAUAUUUUUCUUCAAAAAAUGUCAUAAGUUUAGCAUUAUGUUUAGGCCUAUAAGCCAUGUCAAAUUACUAUGUAAAAAGAGUAUGAAGUAAGGUGUGUGUGGUGUUCAUUUUUUUUAAUGGAUAACCCAGUUGUUCUAGCAUCAUUUGUGGAAAAUACUGCGUGAAAGGCAAUUCUACACAAAAGCACACACACACCAUCUUCUGUUCAUUGAUUUAUUUGUCUAUCCUUACAUGAAUAUUACAUUGUGUUUAUUAUUUUAGCUUUUAUAAAUUUUAAAAGAAGGUAGUAUAAAUCCUCCAAUAUUGUUCUUGUUUUUCAAAAUUGUUUUCGUCAUUCUACGUUCUUUGCAUUUCCAUAUAAAUUUUUGAAUCAAUUGACAAUUCUAAAAAAAAAAAAUCAUGCUGCAACUGAGGUAAAACUCUACAUCAAGUUAGCGGGAAUUGACAUCUUAGCAAUAUGGAGUGAUCCAAUCAGUGAACAUGGUAUAUCUUACCAUUUAUUUGGCAUUCUUUCAUUUCUCUAAGCAAGGUUUUGUAGUUUUAAGGUUUUACAGUGUACAUUCUUAAUACCUUUUGUUAAAUUUAUCUCUAAUUAUUUUAUCUUUUAUGCUAGGCUAAAUGCAAUCACUUUUAUUGCAUUUUCAGUGAUUCAUUGCUAGUACAUACAAAUACAUUUUUUUUGUCUAUUGCUUUGUAUCCUGUGACCUUGAUAAAUCCCUUUGUUAAUUCUAGUAGCUGUCUUUUAAAUUCCUUAGUUUUGUGGAUACAUGAUCAUGUCAUAUGUGAAUACAGACAGCUUCACUUCUUCCUUUCUAAUUUGUAUACCUUUUAUUCUUUGCGUUGGUUUUUGCAUGAAUUAGAACCGUGGUCUAGGACCCUUGUAAUGUUAAAUAGAAGUGGUAAAAACAGACAUACUUGUUAUACUCUCAGCCUUAAAAUUGAAUCUUUUAUCAUUAAGCAGGAUGUUAGCUGUGUUUUUUUGUUUGUUUGUUUUUUGUAGAUGCCCUUUAUCAGGUUGAAAAGAUUCCUUCUAUCCCUAAUGUGCUGAGAUAUUUUACCAUGAAUAUGUGUUGUAUUUUGUCUAAUGCCUUUUCUGCAUCUAAUGAUGUUCAUAUAGUUUUUCUUCUUUAUUUUAUUGAUAUGGUGAAUGGUAAUGAUAUUAAUUAGAUAUUUAAGGUAAAUCAACUUUGCAAUCCUGGGAUAAAUCUUCUCCAUUCUAUGUCAUUUCUUUAAUGUACUGCUGGAUUUCAUUUGCUUAUAAUUCAGAGUAAUUUUGUGUCAAUGUUCAGGAGGGACAUGGGUCUAUAGUUCUUUUGUAAUGUGUGCAAAGUCAUUUGUGGAAAAGACUGGGUUCAAAGGAAACUCAACACCACACUCACACACAGAGGUCUGGUUUUGUUAUCAGAUAAGUCUGAUGCUAUGGUUUAACUUUUUGUUCCUUUCAAAAUUCGUGUUGAAAUUUAAUACCCAAUGCAACAUUAGUGGAAGGCAUGGCCUUUGGGAGGUGAUUGAUUAGGUGCCCUUAUAAAAGAGCUUGACAAACCUAGCCUUGUUCACCAAAAACUCAUUCCUUUUUGCCCUUCUACCUUCUGCCAUGUGAGAACACAGCAUUCUUCCUAUUCAGAGGAUGAAAUGUUCAAGUCAUCAUCUUUGAAGGAGAAACCAGACCCUCACCAGAUGAUGAACCUUCCAGCACCUUGAUCUUGGAUUUCCCAAACUCCAGAAUUUAUCUGGAAGAGCAACAGAAGGAAGCAUUCAAAACAAUUCCUACCUAAUUGACCUCUGAGGUUGAUGCAGUUGUACGUGGCAAGGAUGUACAGAUGGAGUCUUGCUCUUUCACCGAGGCUCGCGUGCAGUGACAUGAUCUCAGCUCACUGCAACUUCCGCCUCCCAGGUUCAAGCGAUUCUCCUGCCUCAGCCUCCCGAGUAGCUGGGAUUACAGACCCUUACAGCUCCUGUGGAGCACAGUAUGAAAACCUCUAGUCUGAAGCUUCUGAAGAAUCUAUAACAGGAAUGAAGAGUUUGACCAGCUUGAAUUUCAAACAUCUCCCCAUUGGCAAGACAUGAAAACCAAGCUUUCACUUGAUCAGACGAGCAAGACAUCUAGUCUUUCUGGAGAUGUUCUCUUAUAUCUUGUUGCUUUGGGCUGAGUGGAAUACAUACAGGAGCCUUGAGACCCAAAGACUCUCCCUGCUGCUCUGGAGGUUGUAACCUCUGAACUUACUGUUGCCACUGCUCAGGCCUCUCCCAUGAGAGAGUGGUUAUUUGUUUUCCUUGGUUUCUCCUUACCCAUUGUCUUUGUUACUGGUACAGAUCUACUCCUUGGUCUUCUCCAGGCCUACCCACUCUUCAGAGCCCAUUCCUACUUACUCAGAGCUCUAGAGAGGAGACAAAGCCCUUCCCUCUCCUCGACCUUGGUCCACCACAUAUGUGCAGGUGGUUAACAGUGGGAAUCUUCCUUUCCUUCUAGUAAAUCCUUUCCCCUCUACAGGGUAUCAUAGGGUCCCAAGGCCUCAAAAAAAUAAUCACAAAACAAUUUGAGCAUAGUAGAUUUCUCCAGAUCUGGAUUUUUCAAUCAUAUUCAUGAUCAUCUUGUCACCUUUAUCAGGUUGGGUCUACUGGCUGGUUGGUUGGGG
rnacentral:lncRNA from 10 species